rnacentral:lncRNA from 10 species
GUUGCAGCGAGCUGAGAUUGCGCCACUGCACUCCAGUUUGGUGACAGAACAAGACUCCGUCUCAAAAAAAAAAAAAAAAAAAAAAUCAUCUCCACUAUAGAAUUUCAGAAAAGAGGUUGUAUAAUCUUGGGAGGUCACUUCAACUAUACAAUUGGACUAAGAACACUGACUCUCGUGGGUGUUAUAAUUAAAUCAGGUAAUAUAUGGUAAGGUAAGCAU